GGCUCAGGAUGAACGCUAGCUACAGGCUUAACACAUGCAAGUCGAGGGGCAGCAUGGUCUUAGCUUGCUAAGGCUGAUGGCGACCGGCGCACGGGUGAGUAACACGUAUCCAACCUGCCGUCUACUCUUGGACAGCCUUCUGAAAGGAAGAUUAAUACAAGAUGGCAUCAUGAGUCCGCAUGUUCACAUGAUUAAAGGUAUUCCGGUAGACGAUGGGGAUGCGUUCCAUUAGAUAGUAGGCGGGGUAACGGCCCACCUAGUCUUCGAUGGAUAGGGGUUCUGAGAGGAAGGUCCCCCACAUUGGAACUGAGACACGGUCCAAACUCCUACGGGAGGCAGCAGUGAGGAAUAUUGGUCAAUGGACGAGAGUCUGAACCAGCCAAGUAGCGUGAAGGAUGACUGCCCUAUGGGUUGUAAACUUCUUUUAUAAAGGAAUAAAGUCGGGUAUGCAUACCCGUUUGCAUGUACUUUAUGAAUAAGGAUCGGCUAACUCCGUGCCAGCAGCCGCGGUAAUACGGAGGAUCCGAGCGUUAUCCGGAUUUAUUGGGUUUAAAGGGAGCGUAGAUGGAUGUUUAAGUCAGUUGUGAAAGUUUGCGGCUCAACCGUAAAAUUGCAGUUGAUACUGGAUAUCUUGAGUGCAGUUGAGGCAGGCGGAAUUCGUGGUGUAGCGGUGAAAUGCUUAGAUAUCACGAAGAACUCCGAUUGCGAAGGCAGCCUGCUAAGCUGCAACUGACAUUGAGGCUCGAAAGUGUGGGUAUCAAACAGGAUUAGAUACCCUGGUAGUCCACACGGUAAACGAUGAAUACUCGCUGUUUGCGAUAUACUGCAAGCGGCCAAGCGAAAGCGUUAAGUAUUCCACCUGGGGAGUACGCCGGCAACGGUGAAACUCAAAGGAAUUGACGGGGGCCCGCACAAGCGGAGGAACAUGUGGUUUAA
rnacentral:rRNA from 1 species